rnacentral:rRNA from 1 species
AUUAGUUAGUUGGUGAGGUAACGGCUCACCAAGGCGAUGAUAGAUAGGCGGCCUUAACGGGUGGUCGCCCACACUGGGAUUGAGAUACGGCCCAGACUCCUACGGGAGGCAGCAGUCGAGAAUAGUCUACAAUGGACGAAAGUCUGAUAGUGCGACGCCGCGUGAACGAAGAAUCCCUUCGGGGUGUAAAGUUCUUUUAUAUGUGAGCAAUGCUUCCUAGGUGAAUAGUUUAGGGAGAGAGAUAUUAGCAUAUGAAUAAGCAACGGCUAACUCCGUGCCAGCAGCCGCGGUAACACGGGGGUUGCUAGCGUUGUCCGGAAUUACUAGGCGUAAAGGGCAGGUAGGCGGAUAGAUAAGUUUGAUGUUAAAGGCGACGGCUUACCCGUCGUAAGGCAUUAGAUACUGUUUAUCUGGAAUGCGGUUGGGGAAGACAGAAUUCCUGGUGUAGCGGUGGAAUGCGCAGAGAUCAGGAGGAAUACCAAAGGCGAAGGCAGUCUUCUAAGCCGUUAUUGACGCUAAACUGCGAAGGUGUGGGUAUCAAACAGGAUUAGAUACCCUGGUAGUCCACACAGUAAAC